AUGCUUGCUUUGGCAGAAUGUAUAUUAAAAUCGGAACAGUACAAAGAAGAUUAGCAUGAACACUAUGCAUGGAUGACAUGCAAACUCUUGAAAAGAUGCCCUACCAG